GUGUAUCUUUUUAUACUAUUUUGAUUUACUUUAAAAGUUAUUAUGUAUCUCCAACUGCAUGCCAGAGUAAUGGAGAGAUUCUGACAGCCCACGUCAGCACAGUGCCUGCAGCUGCCACUCAUCGUUCAUUUAUAU